AGACCUUGGAGAGAGGCUGCCAAGAUGAAUGGAAAGAAGCCAGGCUCAGAGCUUGAAGCACGCUCUGUGACUUGCAAGCAGGGGAAUUCAUCCCAGCCUCUCUGAGCCUCAACUUCCUCAUCUUUUUUUUUUUUUUCUUUUAGGGCCGCACCCUCAGCAUAUGGAAGUUCCUAGGUUAGGGAUCCAAUUGGAGCUGCAGCUGCCAGCCGACGGCACAGCCGCAGCAACAUGGGAUCGAGCUGCCUCUGUGACCUACGCCACAGUUCACAGCAAUGCCUGAUCCUUAACCCACUGAGCGAGGCCAGGGAUCGAACCUGUAUCCUCAUGGAUGCUAGUCAAGUUCAUAACCCGAUGAGUGACAGAGGGAACUCCCUUAACUUCCUCAUCUUUAAAGAAAGGUCACAGGAGGACCGAGGUGUGGUGCGGAUAAUGUGGGCCGAGAGAGAUGAAAAGGCUGCUAGGAUAACACUGCACAUCGUCUAGUUGAAUAAAUGUUUUCCCAUCCAUGCCCUGCCAUCUGGAGUCCAGGCUCCACAGUCGGAUUUCAGCUCUGGGUGAUGGCAGGAAAGACAGUCAGAGCUGCGUAAAUGAUUGUGAGAAUCUCACCCCGAUUGCCUCCUCUCCAGGAUCUUUCUGGAGCACCUGCUGUCCGACUCUAGCUUCUUCGGGUUCCAGGGAGGGACCAGCUGGAGGUGGGGCCAUGGACAUCCUGUUAUCAGGGGCAAGACUCCAGUGGGUGCUAAAAACAAAUGCCCAGGCACCAGGCAGCACUUAAGGGUGAUGUAUACACAAGAUACACAGGUGACAACUUCAGCAUCCUCUGCUAAGCCUCAUCCCUGCUCCAUCCAUUCAUCAUCAUCAAUAGAGUCUUUUGACACCCAUUUAUUGAAGCCUGCUGUGUACCAGGCUUAUGCGGGCUGGAGAACACAAGAGGUAUAAGUCCCCCACUCUUGUUCUAGGAGCCACAAAGAACAAGUCUGUUUUCCCUUCUUGUCAGACCUCUCCCUAAAACCCCCCACGUUAUCUUGUUUCCCAUCCUGCUUGUUCUCCUGGCUGCUCUCUGUCUGCGACCUUUAUCCAUAAGUUAUAAUCAGACUCAUCCACUUUCGCCCUGAUAUGUAAUCCCCCCAAACUGGUGACAUUCCAUGAAAUGGGAGAAGGGGGUCUCAGAAUCGCAGAGGAUAGAGUUUCAGUUUCCAGAUGCUUGGUGUCUCCAUUAGGAGAACCAAUUACAAAAAAUUGAAUCAGCCUUAUCAUGUGGUCAGAUCUCUUAAACCAUCCCUAUGCAAGGCACUGUUAUAUUGUGCCAUGAAAAAUAGUUCACAAAGUCAAAAUACCAUCCCCAGAAAUUAGCCAUGGUGGUGAUGAAGUUUAAUUAAGUCAGAACAAGUCAUGGGCGGGUCUUUGUAGAGGGAAGAAAGCCAAUAGCCUCAGUGUUAGAUGGGAAGAGAGAAUUGUCAAAGUGAACUCCGAGUUAGUCUCUGGCUCUUUCUUCUUUUCUCACUGAUAUAAACUGCACAUCUGUAGCUUUGUACACCGACAGGCGAGUUAGUAUCUCCAACCCAGGCACAUCUCUAGGGGUCCAUAUUUGCAUAUCCAAUGGCUUCUUAACACUUUCUCUUAGGUGUGUCAAAAUAUUCAAUGGAAGCCAUAGUCUUCAUGAAUGCCUUCAAAGUUUGGUUCUUGUUCAGAUUCCCCUUUUAUUAGCAAAGUCACCAUUAUCCAUCACGUGCACAGAGCACAAGCUUAGUCUCUUUUGCAACAUCUUUUUCUCUCUCCAUCCUUCAUAGUCCAGGUCAUCACCAGCUGGUUGAUUUUAGCCCCUAAGUCACUUGAGUUCAUCUCCUUCUCUUACUCCUUCCAAUAUUUUAGUCCAAGCCACCAUCAUCUUUUCUCAAAAACUCUCAACGGUCUCCCAGUUGGUCUUGUUGCAUCCUGUCUCUUCCUCCAUGUGAGCCUGAGGGAUGUUCCCCAAAUGAACACCUGAUCCAAUCAUCCCGUCAUUGACCUUGUCCUCAUAGGAACCUACUAAAACUCAUUGGUGGCAUCUCCUUAUGUCAUUCAACAAAGAUAAAGCCCCGGAGAUGGACACAAAGUCAACGACCCCUUUUCCCUCUGCCUCACUGAGCCUGGGAACUGAGGUUGGAGGAAGAGUCCUCUCUCAAGGUCAAAUAUGGAGCUAUCACCAGCCCAAGGGGAAGUGGAUGCUGGCCAGGUACAGACAGCAGACAUCCACCAUAAGGGCAAUCUCUCCAGGGAGAAUUUCUCAAGGGAGUACUUUAUAAAGCAGUAGUGGUUUCAAGACCCUAGACAGGUGAGUUGAGAUAUUGAUUUCAGCAAGAGACUUAGAGGCUGAAGGUUUAAGGGAAAGCUACGGCUAAAUAGAAUCGAGGUACAUAUACCAAGUUCAGGGCAACCCUAUUAAGAUCACACUAGAUAGUGAGGCCAAAGCACCCAGCAUGCAUCCUACUGCUGAAGCAUUUCAGUUCGUGCAGCUAAACAGGCCUGGGGAAGGCUGGGGCUGACAGAUGUCUGGCAUGGCUGCAUCACACCGAACCUCGGUUGGCUUCUCCCUGCUCAAAAACCAUCUGUUCUAUAAUGUUUUCUAGAAGUGAACUGGGGUUUGAUGUGAUUCUGACCAGUCUGUAAUUCCUGGGAGUCAGGCUUGAAUCUUUGCUCUUGUCUGAAAAUGAGCUUAUUAGCUCUUCUUCUUCUCCUGGCAUCUUUCUUACCUACCUACCCUCAAUGUUUUCUGCUUCCUUUCUUGAGGUUCAACUUCAGGUUGAGGUACAAAUUCAUAUCAGUGUUUAAGCCACUGAUUAAAGCCCUGGAGGAGAAAGGAAGGCCAGACAUAUGUUCUUCCUUUCCCAUCCAUCUUCCCCACUUGUUUUUGAAAACAAAAUCAAAACCCAAACUAACCAACAAACAAAGCCCCAGGCCACUUCUCUGUUUAACAAGCUCCAGUUUUCUAUGGACUGAAGUUCACCUCUUCUCAAGUGCUGCAUGAACUUCUCUGUAACAUCUUGUAGGGUUUCUGGGGUUACAGGCACAGAAACCUAUCUCAGAAUGACGAAUGCCUUAAAAAGAACACCUUGGGGAAACCUCAUGGAAUGGAAGUAAUAGCUGAACAAAGGGAUCUAAGAGAGGACUGGACCCAGAAGACCCCCAAUACCCCCAGAGAAUAGGACAUAAGAGACAACCAUUUCAAGACCCCAUGGCCAGUCCAAAACUUUUCCUUCAGUCCCCCCCCCCACCCCAUUCAUGAUUCAAAUUCCUAGGAACUCCUCUGCAUUGGGUGGGUUCUUGGUGGGGUUACCCAUCAAAGCAUCCUAUAUCCCUUGGUAAAGAGCAGUGACCAUCUUGGUUCAGAAGCGCAGUGCCAUUCUUAAGCUUUGCCACCUGGAUAAAACUCAUUGGUGGCGGUACCUGGAGUUCCUUUGCGGCUCAGUGGUUAACUAACCCAACUAGGAUCCAUGAGGAUGCAGGUUCGAUCCGUGGCCUCACCCAGUGGGUUAAGGAUCUGGUGUUGCUGUAAGCUGUGGUAUAGAUCACAGACACAACUCGGAUCCCUCAUUGCUAUGACUGUGGCAUAGGCCAGCAGCUGUAACCCUAGCC
rnacentral:lncRNA from 1 species